rnacentral:lncRNA from 1 species
AGUUAUGACAAAAAGAUAUUAUGACUCCCAUGCAGCGGAUGAAGACAUUGAUGCCCAUGAAAGGAGAUUCACAAGCCUCCCUCCCAGAUUCAGGGAAGGAGAUGCAGCCCCCACCCCUUGACUGGAGGAGGACCAAGGUCACCUUGCAGAGCACCGUGAGAUGUGGAAGAUGCCAGAACUGUCUGUGGGAAAUGGGAUUUGUACUUGGCUUGUCUGCCUCUUGCAACCAGAGUCCUGGU